GGAUCAUGAGUUGGCUGGAUAUUCCCGAGAGUUGAGUUUGUAUUGGUCUACCAUAUAGCACACCUCUGUCUAUUUGAGCUGCUAAGGAGAUGGAGACAACACCUGUCUCCGGUUUACAUCUUCAAACUAAGGGCAAUCAUGGCAUCCGACAGGAGACGCACACGUCCAUCCAUGAACGAUGUAUACAGGCUGUGAGGGAGAAGAGUUUGAAGAUGAAGAGGAUGGUCCCAGUUGCUGGAGAUCCUGUCACUUCACACACCAUCAGAGAUAGACUUCAAUUACAGCCUGUCUGGUAUACAAAGCCCCCUGCCUGUUUUAAACUUUCCUUGAUAAAGAAUUGAUGGAGAGUGUGGUGUAGGAAACUAACAGGUAUUCUCUUGAAAUGAAAGAAAAGACUGCCCCUGGUGUAAAAGGGAAGCUCUCAAAAUGGGUGAACACAUACCAUCGGUGAAAUGUGUACCUUCCUUGUGAAGAAGGGCUCUGUGAGGGACUACUGGUCCACUGACCCAAUGCUGCAGACCCUUUUUCCCCCCAACCUUUUUUCUCCCAGGACGGCUUCCUUGUCUUGUUGAGAGCGCUCCACUUUGUGAACAACGCCACUGCCAACAGAAUUCGGUAAUGUCCUGGGCAUCUUCACCAGGGCAUUUGGAAGAGUGUUUGUUUCUCACAAGGACUGAUGAGUCUCUCAUGGCUUGGAAAGGAAGGCUUGUAAUUCCGCCAAUACAUCCCAUCAAUGCGCCACAGAUUUGGAGUCAGGUUCUUUUGUUUUAUGUGACUGUCUGACAGGAUAUGUACAGGACCUGAUCAUAUACACAGGCGCCACCACAGAUAUAAGGCUUUUUGAGGGUCUUGGCAUAUCUGGAUCAGUGGUGAUCCCCAUUCUGCAGGCUUACCUCAGAAAGGGGCACACUGUGUUUGUGGACAGCUGGUACAGUAGCCCUACCCUUUUCCAGAACCUUAUGAGGGAGAACACAGGGGCCCAUGGCACAGUGAGAUCAAAUAGGAAGGGGAUGCCAAUAUUCAAAAACAAAAUGAGCAAGGGGGAGGUGGAGUUCCAAACAAACAGGGAGGUAAUGGCAGUAAAAUGGCACGACAAACCCAUGUUCUGUCCACUGUGCACACCUCCAAAAUAUCGGACACAGGAAAUCUGGACUAUGUCACCAGAGAGAGGAAAAUGAAGAGAGACUGUGUCUUGGAGCACAACAAGACGAUGGGAGCAGUUGACAAAGUGCACAUGCAGAACCAUUUUGUUGAGUGUGCCAGAAAGUCCCUUAAAAGGUACAAGAUAUAUAGCUCUCCUUAAUGACCACAUUGUCCACCGGCAGGUCACAGGACAGGUGAUCUUGUCCCAGCAAUACAGGAUAAAUCUGAUGCGGCAGGCUCCUUGAGGACCACCACACUCCUCAUUGUCCGUCUGCUGGGGGCCGGCCUGCCUCGUACAAACCUCUAAGCCUCACUGGACUCCACUUUCCAAGUGAUGUCCCUCAGACCACCCUGCAAGGAAAAAGCACAAGGAGCUAUUGCAAGGUCUGUCUACAAUCUACCCGAGGACAGAAACAAAGGCAAUUGACCAAGUACACCAUGUGACACAGCCUUGUCUGCAGUUCCUUACUUUGGUGAGUAUCACACUCUGAAGCACUACUAAAUUGAAAGUAGGCUUAUAGUGGCUGAUACAUUCGUUGCUUUAUGCUGAUACUUCAAAAAUAUAUAAUUGUAAAGUGUAUUGAAAUGUAUGACUUGAGGUGUUUGAUGGGGGUGAUUGGGGAAAUGUUCUCCCCAAAACAUAUAUGUAACACAUGCUUGCCUGAAAUUAAAUACUUUGUUUGACUCCUGCAUUCUAUUUCUGAAAUUAAACAGAACAAGAAAAGUAUGUAAUCAACAAUUGUAUUGAAAUGUAUGACUUGAUGUGUUUUUCUUUAUUUUAAAAAAACCUUUAUUUAACUAGGCAAGUCAGUUAAGAACAAAUUCUUAUUUUCAAUGAUGGCCUAGGACCAGUGGGUUAACUGCUUGUUCAGGGGUAGAACGACAGAUUUGAACCUUGUCAGCUCGGGGAUUUGAACUUGUCCACCGCUCUAACCACUAGGCUACCCUGCCUCACCCACUGAUGCAUAGUGGGCGAGGCAGGAUUGGAGAAAUGUUCUUUUAAAAAAAUGUACAAAAAAGAUGGAAAUGUUACAUAUGUUUAUUUACUUUGUUUCACUCCUGGGCUCCAUUUCUGAAAUAAAACAGAACAAGAAAA